UACAGAGGUCUCAAGCGUUGUUCGGAUUCAUUGGGCGUAAAGGGUGUGUAGGUGGCGCCGUAAGUCGGGUGUGAAAUUUCGAGGCUUAACCUCGAAACUGCAUUCGAUAACUGCGGUGCUUGAGGACUGGAGAGGAGACUGGAAUUUAUGGUGUAGCAGUGAAAUGCGUAGAUAUCAAUAAGGAAGACCAGUGGCGAAGGCGGGAUC
rnacentral:rRNA from 1 species